rnacentral:rRNA from 1 species
CAAAGGUAGCAUAAUCAUUUGUUCCUUAAUUAGGGACUUGUAUGAACGGCCACACGAGGGUUUAACUGUCUCUUUCCUCUAAUCAAUGAAAUUGACCUUCUCGUGAAGAGGCGAGAAUAAACAUAUAAGACGAGAAGACCCUAUGGAGCUUAAAUUAACUAAUUUAAUUGCUAUACCAUAAAUCUAUAAGAUACAACUAAACAGCAUAAUAAAUUAACAAUUUUGGUUGGGGUGACCUCGGAGAAGAAAAAAACCUCCGAACGAUAUUAUAAUUCAGACUCUACAAGUCAAAAUUUACUAAUCGCUUAUUGACCCAAUACUUGAUCAACGGAACAAGUUACCCUAGGGAUAACAGCGCAAUCCUACUCUAGAGUCCCUAUCGACAGCAGGGUUUACGACCUCGAUGUUGGAUCAGGACAUCCUAAUGGUGCAGCC